CCUCUAGUCGUGACUCUUGAUGGAGAUCUACUUAUUUCCAAGGCAUUUAUGAAUAGAGGAGAGAACGCAAAAAAAACAAAAACAAAAACAAAAAAAAACCUUGCAGAUUUGUCCUGAAGUGAAGUGUCAAAUUCAAUGUAUGUUGAACUGUCUUUUUAGGAACACAAAGAAGAUGAAGCAACCAGCAAAAGAAACUCUAGUCCUUCAGAUGCUGAGUAUUACAAGGAAAAAAUUUUGACUACAAGCAUUUUGUUACCUUGUUUUCACUGAAGUUCAGAGGAAGGUUUUGGAGGAGAGGAAUAUAUCAAUGUAUGAAGGAAUUCCGUUUUGCCUAAGGAACCUAUGGAGGAGGAAGUGGAAGCAAGAACAGAGAGAGGCAAGCAGACUCGCCACAGUUCAAAAGCCUUUGAUCAUCUGUUCAACAUUCUAUUUAACAACAUUCAACAUAUCAUAGAAUCAU
ensembl:lncRNA